rnacentral:rRNA from 1 species
AUUGAACGCUGGCGGAAUGCUUUACACAUGCAAGUCGAGCGGCAGCGCGGCCUUCGGGCUGGCGGCGAGCGGCGAACGGGUGAGUAAUGCAUCGGAACAUGCCCAGUCGUGGGGGAUAACACUUCGAAAGAAGUGCUAAUACCGCAUACGUCCUGAGGGGGAAAGCGGGGGAUCGCAAGACCUCGCGCGAUUGGAGUGGCCGAUGUCAGAUUAGCUAGUUGGGGGGGUAAAGGCCUACCAAGGCGACGAUCUGUAGCUGGUCUGAGAGGAUGAUCAGCCACACUGGGACUGAGACACGGCCCAGACUCCUACGGGAGGCAGCAGUGGGGAAUUUUGGACAAUGGGGGCAACCCUGAUCCAGCCAUUCCGCGUGAGUGAAGAAGGCCUUCGGGUUGUAAAGCUCUUUCGGCAGGAACGAAACGGUGGGCUCUAACAUAGUCCGCUAAUGACGGUACCUGAAGAAGAAGCACCGGCUAACUACGUG